rnacentral:rRNA from 1 species
GACGAACGCUGGCGGCGUGCUUAACACAUGCAAGUCGAACGGAAAGGCCCUGCUUUUGUGGGGUGCUCGAGUGGCGAACGGGUGAGUAACACGUGAGUAACCUGCCCUUGACUUUGGGAUAACUUCAGGAAACUGGGGCUAAUACCGGAUAGGAGCUCCUGCUGCAUGGUGGGGGGUGGAAAGUUUCGGCGGUUGGGGAUGGACUCGCGGCUUACCAGCUUGCUGGUGGGGUAGUGGCUUACCAAGGCUUUGACGGGUAGCCGGCCUGGGAGGGUGACCGGCCACAUUGGGACUGAGGUACGGCCCAGUCUCCUACGGGAGGCAGCAGUGGGGAAUAUUGCACAAUGGGCGGAAGCCUGAUGCGACAGCGCCGCGUGCGGGAUGACGGCCUUCGGGUUGUAAACCGCUUUCGCCUGUGACGAAGCGUGAGUGACGGUAAUGGGUAAAGAAGCACCGGCUAACUACGUG